GAGUUUGAUCUUGGCUCAGGAUGAACGCUAGCGACAGGCUUAACACAUGCAAGUCGAGGGGCAGCGGUGGUGAAGGCUUGCCUUUACCAGCCGGCGACCGGCGCACGGGUGAGUAACACGUAUGCAACCUGCCUGCCACAGCCGGAUAAUCGGGAGAAAUCCCGUCUAAUACGGCAUAAUGCAUCGACGGGACAUCCUGUUGGUGCCAAAGGUUAAUUCCGGUGGCGGAUGGGCAUGCGUCGCAUUAGUUAGUUGGCGGUGUAACGGACCACCAAGACGACGAUGCGUAGGGGUUCUGAGAGGAAGGUCCCCCACACUGGUACUGAGACACGGACCAGACUCCUACGGGAGGCAGCAGUGAGGAAUAUUGGUCAA
rnacentral:rRNA from 1 species